GAUGAACGCUGACAGAAUGCUUAACACAUGCAAGUCAACCUGUGGCGGCCGGGUGAGUAACGCGUAAAGAACUUGCCUAACGGAUAGGGACAACCUUUGGAAACGAAUGCUAAUACCUGAAACUGUGAGAGAGCUUUGCGUCCCAUUAGCUAGUUGGAGAGGUAACGGCUCACCAAGGCGAGGAUGGGUAGCCGGCCUGAGAGGGUGAGCGGCCACAAUGGGACUGGGACGCGGCCCUUGCUGCUACGGGAGGCAGCAGUGGGGAAUAUUGGACAAUGGACCAAAGUCUGAUCCAGCAUUUCUGUGUGCACGAUGAUUUUUUCGGAAUGAAAAGUGCUUUCAGUUGAGAAGCGGUACCAACAGAAGAAGUGACGGCUAAAUACGUGCCAGCAGCCGCGGUAAUAC
rnacentral:rRNA from 1 species